rnacentral:rRNA from 1 species
GACGGACGCUGGCGGCGUGCUUAACACAUGCAAGUCGAACGGUAAGGCCCUUCGGGGUACACGAGUGGCGAACGGGUGAGUAACACGUGGGUGAUCUGCCCUGCACUUCGGGAUAAGCCUGGGAAACUGGGUCUAAUACCGGAUAGGACCACUGCCUGCAUGGGUGGUGGUGGAAAGCUUUUGCGGUGUGGGAUGGGCCCGCGGGCUAUCAGCUUGUUGGUGGGGUGAUGGCCUACCAAGGCGACGACGGGUAGCCGGCCGGAGAGGGUGACCGGCCACACUGGGACUGAGAUACGGCCCAGACUCCUACGGGAGGCAGCAGUGGGGAAUAUUGCACAAUGGGCGCAAGCCUGAUGCAGCGACGCCGCGUGAGGGAUGACGGCCUUCGGGUUGUAAACCUCUUUCAGCACCGACGAAGCGCAAGUGACGGUAGGUGCAGAAGAAGGACCGGCCAACUACGUGCCAGCAGCAGCCGCGG